GUGGGGAAUAUUGGACAAUGGGCGAAAGCCUGAUCCAGCCAUGCCGCGUGUGUGAAGAAGGUCUUCGGAGUGUAAAGCACUUUAAGUUGGGAGGAAGGGUAGUAACCUAAUACGUUGCUACUUUGACGUUACCGACAGAAUAAGCACCGGCUAACUUCGUGCCAGCAGCCGCGGUAAUACGAAGGGUGCAAGCGUUAAUCGGAAUUACUGGGCGUAAAGCGCGCGUAGGUGGUUCAGUAAGUUGGAAGUGAAAUCCCCGGGCUUAAACUGGGAACUGCUUUAAAAAAUGCUGAGCUAGAGUACGGUAGAGGGUAGUGGAAUUUCCUGUGUAGCGGUGAAAUGCGUAGAUAUAGGAAGGAACACCAGUGGCGAAGGCGACUACCUGGACUGAUACUGACACUGAGGUGCGAAAGCGUGGGGAGCAAACAGGAUUAGAAACCCCUGUAGUCC
rnacentral:rRNA from 1 species